AAUCAACGCUGGCGGCGUGCUUAACACAUGCAAGUCGAUCGGUAACAGGUGUAGCAAUACAUGCUGACGAGAGGCGGACGGGUGAGUAAUGCUUGGGAAUCUGCCUAUUAGUGGGGGACAACCCGGGGAAACUCGGGCUAAUACCGCAUACGCUCUACGGAGGAAAGCCGGGGACCGCAAGGCCUGGCGCUAAUAGAUGAGCCCAAGUCGGAUUAGCUAGUUGGUAGGGUAACGGCCUACCAAGGCGACAAUCCGUAGCUGGUCUGAGAGGACGACCAGCCACACCGGAACUGAGACACGGUCCGGACUCCUACGGGAGGCAGCAGUGGGGAAUAUUGGACAAUGGGGGCAACCCUGAUCCAGCGACGCCGCGUGGGUGAAGAAGGCCUGCGGGUUGUAAAGCCC
rnacentral:rRNA from 1 species